rnacentral:lncRNA from 1 species
GCGCAAUAUACAGAAUGCAUAGGAAAUAGGAAAACCUUUAAGAUCAAUAGCCACAUUGAAUGCAGCAAAAAGACUUACCUAAGGAAUCCACGGGGAAGAUAAUAGCUAGUCCACUAUUUUGAUCAGAAAACCACGUUUUUGUUCUCCUUAGGUGUGACUAGCUAGCCUACUCUACACAUCACUAUCCCUUAUACAUACAUGCGACCAGGUUCCAUCUGCUGCAACUGGAUUGAGUCACUCAGCACCCCGUUGUCCGAAUCAAAGUUCGGACGUUUCCGACAAGUUGACGAAUAGCCUUAGGAAAUAGUUGGACAUCUCCCGAGUUAAAAAUCAUGCCCUUUUUUUUUAUCCAAAAGAGGUCGCCAGAGUAUUGCAUCUCAUUUAUAGCGCGUCAUAUAAUUUGAGACCACGAUUAAAUUACACAAACGAUGUAGCAGUUGUGUGCAACGUGAACCAGGCUAUUCUGAAUCGGAGUAGGCUAGCUACUAAAUGUAUGAAUUGCAGCACUAACAUUUCAAGUCUAACCUCCCUAAAAUGUGUGGCCUAUUUGGACAAGGAUAUCUAGUUUCACCGCUCUUUAAAAGCCCUAAGGAAAGCGUGUAUCGGUAGUUUUAGACAUGCGGAAGUGUGCGGGGGCUAUGAUGCACUGUUAAAUGACGGACGGCCCUCUGUGUUCCUAGCUGUGCUGGGAAAUAAUUAUUCAUCCGAAAGAUCUGCCUCUCGGGACCCUUUUGGAUACCCGGUGAAUGAACAGUGGACCAUAGGACAAAUACAUUAUUCUGCCACUCUAAUGAAUACUCAGGGAGAAAAAGGUGAAGAUUCACUCGCAGAGCGCGGAAGGUGUUAAUUUCGCAGAAGGCAGAAAUCGUGGUCACAGGCAGGAAACAAAACUAGGACCGACGGCUAUAACUGGUUCUCACAAACGAACUAGGAAAAGGCUUAGUAGAGUCAAAAUGAACAAUACCUCACAAAGGCACAAACAGAAUGACCUGAACUAAAUAAGGAGCUGAUGAGACCAGGUGAGUAUCUAACACAGGUGAAAUCAAUGAACAAAAAUGAAAGACUACUAAUGAAAGGGCUACGUUCAAGAACAUAAAGAAACAUAACACAAGGCUGACUGAGAAAAUAAAUACAGGACCUUACAG